ensembl:lncRNA
CCCCCCCAGCCCCCCCCAGCACCCCGGUACCCUGAGGAAGGCGUCGAGGGCUCCGUUCUCCAUGUACUCGGUGAGGAUCAUGGCGGGGGCGCUGGCGGUCACCACCCCCCGCAGCCGCACCACGUUGGGGUGGGCGAACUGCCCCAUACGGGCGGCCUCCCCCAAAAAAUCCCGGCGCUGCCGCUCGCCAGCGCCCCCCUUCAGCGUCUUCACCGCCACCGGCGACUCCGGGCGCCCCGGCAGCGCCAGCCGGCCCCGGCACACCUCCCCGAAUUCCCCUGGGGGGGCAAAGAGGUGUUGGGGGGGGACAUGGGGCCACCCUAAACCACCCCGUAGGCUCAAUGGGGCUUGGUUGGGUGGCGUUGGGGUGUCUUGGGGACGUUAUUGGGGACAUCGCUGGGGACAUCGUUGGGGACAUCGUUGGGUGUCAUUGGGAUAUUGUGGGACGUCUUGGGGACAUCGUUGGGGACAUUGUUGGGGUCUCUUGGGGACGUUAUUGGGGACAUCGUUGGGGACAUCGUUGGGUGUCAUUGGGGCGUCUUGGGGACAUCGUUGGGGACAUCGUUGGGGACAUCGUUGGGAUGUCAUUGGGGGACAAUGUUGGGUGACGUUGGGGACAUCGUUGGGGACAUUGUUGGGGUCUCUUCGGGACGUUAUUGGGGACAUUGUUGGGGACAUCGUUGGGAUGUCAUUGGGGGACAAUGUUGGGUGUCGUUGGGGACAUCGUUGGGUGUCGUUGGGGUGUCUUGGGGACAUCAUUGGGGACAUCGUUGGGGACAUUUUUGGGACAUCGUUGGGAUGUCAUUGGGCAGAUUGGGAUGUUAAUGGGGACAUGGAUGGGGACAUGGAUGGGGACAUGGAUGGGGACAUCUUUGGGGACAUCUUUGGGGAUACAUCGACGGGGACAUGGCUGGGGUCACCCUGGGGACGGGGGCGUUUUGGGGGGGGGGUGCGCGGCGGUGUCAUUGUCACCUGCCCCGAUGACCUCCUCGAUCUUGACGCAGGCGACGUCGAUCUCCUGGGCGAAGUCCCGCACGGCCGCCCCGGGGUCCUCGUAGGUGAGGGGGUCGAUGUACAGCUUCCUGCCUGCGUGGCACCAUCAUCAUCAUCAUCAACAUCAUCAUCGUCAUCAUCGUCAUCAUCGUCAUCAAUAUCAUCAUCAUGAACAUCAUCAUCAUCAUCAUCUUCAUCAUCAUCAUCAUUAUCAUCAUCAACAUCAUCAUCAUCAACAUCAUCGUCAUCAAUAUCAUCUUCAACAUCAUCCUCAUCAUCCUCAUCAUCAACAUCAUCAACGUCAUCAUCAACAUCAUCAUCAACAUCAUCAUCUUCAUCAUCGUCAUCAUCAUCAUCAUGAACAUCGUCAUCAUCAUCAACAUCAUCAUCUUCAUCAUCAUCAUCAUCAUCAUCAAAUCAUCAUCUUCAUCAUCGUCAUCAUCUUCAUCAUCGUCAUCUUCAUUAUCAUCAUUAUCAUCAUCAUCAUCAUUAUCAUCAUCAUCAACAUCAUCAUCAUCAUCAUCAUCGUCAUCGUCAUCAACAUCAUCAUUGUCAUCAUCAUCAUCAUCAUCGUCAUCUUCAUCAUCAUCGUCAUCUUCAUCAUCAUCAUCAUCAUCGUCAUCAUCAUCAUCAUGAACAUCAUCAUCAUCAUCUUCAUCAUCAACAUCAUCAUCUUCAACAUCAUCUUCAUCAUCAUCAUCAUCAACAUCGUCAUCAUCAUCAACGUCAUCAUCAACAACAUCAUCAUCUUCAUCUUCAUCAUCAUCAUCAUCAUCGUCACCCCACCACCACGGGGCUGCAGUGACCACGGCGCCGUCGCCGCGCUCGAUGUUUUUUGGGGGACUUGGGGACACC